rnacentral:rRNA from 1 species
CGCUGAUGCAGGAAAGCGUGGGGGAGCGAACAGGGAUUAGAUACCCUGGUAGUCCACGCCGGUAAACGAUGAUCACUCGCUGUUGGCGAUACACAGUCAGCGGGCUAAGCAAAAGCAUUAAGUGAUCCACCUGGGGGAGUACGGCCGCAAGGCUGAAACUCAAAGGAAUUGACGGGGGCCCGCACAAGCGGAGGAACAUGUGGUUUAAUUCGAUGAUACGCGAGGAACCUUACCUGGGCUUAAAUGUAGAGUGCAUUUCGCUGAAAGGCGGAUUCCCUUCGGGGCUCUUUGCAAGGUGCUGCAUGGUUGUCGUCAGCUCGUGCCGUGAGGUGUCGGGUUAAGUCCCAUAACGAGCGCAACCCUUAUCGUUAGUUGCCAGCGGGUCAAGCCGGGAACUCUAACGAAACUGCCGGUGUAAACCGUGAGGAAGAUGGGGAUGACGUCAAAUCAGCACGGCCCUUAUGUCCAGGGCUACACACGUGUUACAAUGGCCGGUACAGAGGGCAGCUACCUGGAGACAGGAUGCGAAUCUCCAAAGCCGGUCUCAGUUCGGAUCGGAGUCUGCAACUCGACUCCGUGAAGCUGGAUUCGCUAGUAAUCGCGCAUCAGCCAUGGCGCGGUGAAUACGUUCCCGGGCCUUGUACACACCGCCCGUCAAGCCAUGGAAGUUGGGGGUACCUGAAGUCCGUAACCGUAAGGAGCGGCCUAGGGUAAAACUAGUGACUGGGUUGUAA